rnacentral:sRNA from 1 species
AGAAGAGCCCUCCCUCCAGGAAUGGAGA